AACGAACGCUGGCGGCAUGCCUAACACAUGCAAGUCGAACGAUAACCUUCGGGGUCUUGUGGCGUACCGGUGCGUAACGCGUCGGAAUCUGCCUUUAUGUUCGGCAUAACAGUUAGAAAUGACUGCUAAUACCGGCGGUUGACAUUAAGUCCAAAGAUGUAACGCCUGAGGAUGAGGCCGAAUAGGCUUCGCUGGUUGGUGUGGUAAGGGCGCACCAAGGCGAGGAUCCUUAGAUGGUAUGCGAGGAAGAGCAGCCACACUGGGGCUGAGACACGGCCGAGAAUCCUGCGCGAGGGGGGAGAGGGGGAUGUAGGACAAUGGGGGCAAGGCUGAAGCAGCACGGCCGGGUAAGUGAUGAAGGCGUUAGGGUAGUAAAGCACGUUUACCCGGGAUGAUAAUGACGGUACCGGGAGAAUAAGCCCCGGCUAACUCCGUG
rnacentral:rRNA from 1 species